rnacentral:rRNA from 1 species
UGAAUACGAGAUGCUACGGCGUCGAAGCAGUCUAUGUCAUACUUCCAAGAAAAGCUUGCACUGUCAUAAACAAAUAAUGCCUGUACCAUAACCGACACAGGUGGGUAGGUAGAGUAUACUAAGGGGCGCGAGAUAACUCUCUCUAAGGAACUCGGCAAAAUGACUCCGUAACUUCGGGAGAAGGAGUGCCUUAUUUAUAAGGUUGCAAUAACAAGAUCCAAGCAACUGUUUACCAAAAACACAGGUCUCCGCUAAGUCGUAAGACGAUGUAUGGGGGCUGACGCCUGCCCAGUGCCAGAAGGUUAAAGAAGUUGGUUAGCAUCCGCGAAGCUGAUAACUGAAGCCCUGGUGAACGGCGGCCGUAACGAUAACGGUCCUAAGGUAGCGAAAUUCCUUGUCGGGUAAGUUCCGACCCGCACGAAAGGCGUAAUGAUUUGGAUACUGUCUCGGAGAGGGGCUCGGUGAAAUAGACUUGUCUGUGAAGAUGCGGACUACCUGCACCAGGACAGAAAGACCCUAUGAAGCUUUACUGUAACCUGAAAUUGAAAUUGGACUUUACUUGCGCAGUAUAGGUGGGAGGCGUUGAGAAUAUUCUUGCGGGAUUAUUGGAGCCAUCAGUGAGAUACCACUCUUGUAAUGUUAGAUUUCUAACUUUGUAUCAUUAUCUGGUCAAAGAACAGUUUCAGGCGGGCAGUUUGACUGGGGCGGUCGCCUCCUAAACGGUAACGGAGGCGCACAAAGGUUUCCUCUGAACGGGUAGAAAUCGUAUCUAGAGUGUAAAGGCAUAAGGAAGCUUGACUGUGAGACCUACAAGUCGAGCAGGGACGAAAGUCGGUCUUAGUGAUCUGACGGUGCUGAGUGGAAAGGCCGUCACUCAACGGAUAAAAGUUACUCUAGGAUAACAGGCUGAUCUCCCCCAAGAGUUCACAUCGACGGGGAGGUUUGGCACCUCGAUGUCGGCUCAUCGCAUCCUGGGGCGGUAGUACGUCCCAAGGGUUGGGCUGUUCGCCCAUGAAAGCGGUACGCGAGCUGGGUUCAGAACGUCGUGAGACAGUUCGGUCCAUAUCCGGUGUAGGCGUUAGAAUAUUGAGAGGAGCCUUCUUUAGUACGAGAGGACCGAGAAGGACAUACCUCUGGUGUACCAGUUAUCGUGCCAACGGUAAACGCUGGGUAGCUAUGUGUGGAGUGGAUAACCGCUGAAAGCAUCUAAGUGGGAGGCCCACCUCAAGAUAAG